CAAUCACAUUGCAAGGGAAGUGAUGUAAUCACUUUUCCCUUUAUAAAGGGUGGUUAUCAGGUCCAAUGCCUCAUUAUACAGAGACUUGGCUGUCAGCUCUGCACCACUGGAGGGUCUACCACGUGUUCUAAAUUGGUUAGACAUUAUACCCAUUUGAAUUGCCUUCAAUCCUGAGUCUCUGAGUGUCAGGUUCAAGCUGCUGACCGACGAGGUUCCUUAUGCUUGCGAACCAGUUAGAUUCUAUACACAUAUGAAUCUUCCCCAUAUUCGAAUAUCUGAAUGUCAGACUCAAGCUGAUGAUAUAUGAGGUAUGGUCCUCGCUGUAUCAAUCAAGUCCCAUUGAAAUAUUGAAACGUUGUUCAUACAUCUUUGAAUGACCUUUUAUGUGCUGACAAUAUGUUCUGAAAUGAAGAGAUUUUACCCCUGAUGAAGUCUUGGAACAAGACGAAACGCGUUGGGUUAUUUAUCUAUCUAUUAUCUGAUGUUACCUCCGAAUCUACAAUAAGGAGAAGGAGGAAAUCGUAGUGAUAUAUCUACGCUUUUUCCUCAUCACUACAAACUGAUUGUUCAAAUUGUGCGACAAAUGUAAAUGUAUCAACUCUGUAUACUUAUGAACAUUUGUGUCGGGUUUAUAUGUUGUUUUAAUAAAUUUACA